GAUGAACGCUGGCGGCGUGCCUAAUACAUGCAAGUCGAGCGAACAGACGAGGAGCUUGCUCCUCUGACGUUAGCGGCGGACGGGUGAGUAACACGUGGAUAACCUACCUAUAAGACUGGGAUAACUUCGGGAAACCGGAGCUAAUACCGGAUAAUAUAUUGAACCGCAUGGUUCAAUAGUGAAAGACGGUUUUGCUGUCACUUAUAGAUGGAUCCGCGCCGCAUUAGCUAGUUGGUAAGGUAACGGCUUACCAAGGCAACGAUGCGUAGCCGACCUGAGAGGGGGAUCGGCCAAACUGGAACUGGGACACGGUCCAGACUCCCACGGGAGGCAGCAGUAGGGGAACUUCCGGAAUGGGCGAAAGCCUGAAGGAGCAACGCCGCGGGGGUGAUGAAGGGCCUCGGAUCGUAAAACUCUGUUAUUAGGGAAGAAAAAAUGUGUAAGUAACUAUGCACGUCUUGACGGUACCUAAUCAGAAAGCCAAGGCUAAAUACGU
rnacentral:rRNA from 1 species